UACGUAGGGUGCAAGCGUUAAUCGGAAUUACUGGGCGUAAAGCGUGCGCAGGCGGUUUUGUAAGUCUGACGUGAAAUCCCCGGGCUCAACCUGGGAAUGGCAUUGGUGACUGCACGGCUAGAGUGUGUCAGAGGGGGGUAGAAUUCCACGUGUAGCAGUGAAAUGCGUAGAGAUGUGGAGGAACACCGAUGGCGAAGGCAGCCCCCUGGGUCAAGAUUGACGCUCAUGCACGAAAGCGUGGGGAGCAAACAGG
rnacentral:rRNA from 1 species